CUGAAUAGGGCGCUUAGUCAGAUGCUGCAGACCCGAAACGAAGUGAUCUAUCCAUGAGCAAGUUGAAGCUAGUGUAAGAACUAGUGGAGGACUGAACCCAUAGGCGUUGAAAAGCCCCGGGAUGACUUGUGGAUAGGGGUGAAAGGCCAAUCAAACUUCGUGAUAGCUGGUUCUCUCCGAAAUAUAUUUAGGUAUAGCGUUGUGUCGUAAUAUAAGGGGGUAGAGCACUGAAUGGGCUAGGGCAUACACCAAUGUACCAAACCCUAUCAAACUCCGAAUACCUUAUAUGUAAUCACAGCAGUCAGGCGGCGAGUGAUAAAAUCCGUCGUCAAGAGGGAAACAACCCAGACUACCAGCUAAGGUCCCUAAAUCUUACUUAAGUGGAAAACGAUGUGAAGUUACUUAAACAACCAGGAGGUUGGCUUAGAAGCAGCCAUCCUUUAAAGAAAGCGUAAUAGCUCACUGGUCUAGUGAUUUUGCGCGGAAAAUAUAACGGGGCUAAAGUAAGUACCGAAGCUGUAGACUUGCGCACAACUUAGAUUAUUUAAGUUUAGAAUAUGAGAAACUAAGUUAUAUGUUUAGUUAUAUUUUUACUGAUUUUUAUAGAGUAAAGAUAGAAAUAAAACUUAGUAAAAUCAGUAAAAAUAUUCUUAGAUUAAAGUUAAGUAGUUUAAGUUGUGUGCAAGUGGUAGGAGAGCGUUCUAUUUGCGUCGAAGGUAUACCGGUAAGGAGUGCUGGAGCGAAUAGAAGUGAGCAUGCAGGCAUGAGUAGCGAUAAUUAAUGUGAGAAUCAUUAACGCCGUAAACCCAAGGUUUCCUACGCGAUGCUCGUCAUCGUAGGGUUAGUCGGGUCCUAAGUCGAGUCCGAAAGGGGUAGACGAUGGCAAAUUGGUUAAUAUUCCAAUACCAACAUUAGUGUGCGAUGGAAGGACGCUUAGGGCUAAGGGGGCUAGCGGAUGGAAGUGCUAGUCUAAGGUCGUAGGAGGUUAUACAGGCAAAUCCGUAUAACAAUACUCCGAGAACUGAAAGGCUUUUUGAAGUCUUCGGAUGGAUAGAAGAACCCCUGAUGCCAUCGAGCCAAGAAAAGUUUCUAAGUUUAGCUAAUGUUGCCCGUACCGUAAACCGACACAGGUGGGUGGGAUGAGUAUUCUAAGGCGCGUGGAAGAACUCUCUUUAAGGAACUCUGCAAAAUAGCACCGUAUCUUCGGUAUAAGGUGUGGUUCGCUUCGUAUUAGGAUUUACUCCGAAAGCGAAGAAACUUACAACAAAGAGUCCCUCCCGACUGUUUACCAAAAACACAGCACUCUGCUAACUCGUAAGAGGAUGUAUAGGGUGUGACGCCUGCCCGGUGCUCGAAGGUUAAUUGAUGGGGUUAGCAUUAGCGAAGCUCUUGAUCGAAGCCCGAGUAAACGGCGGCCGUAACUAUAACGGUCCUAAGGUAGCGAAAUUCCUUGUCGGUUAAAUACCGACCUGCAUGAAUGGCGUAACGAGAUGGGAGCUGUCUCAAAGAGGGAUCCAGUGAAAUUGUAGUGGAGGUGAAAAUUCCUCCUACCCGCGGCAAGACGGAGAGACCCCGUGGACCUUUACUACAGCUUGACACUGCUAUUUGGAUAAGAAUGUGCAGGAUAGGUGGGAGGCUUUGAGUAUAUGACGCCAGUUGUAUAUGAGCCAUUGUUGAGAUACCACUCUUUCUUAUUUGGGUAGCUAACCAGCUUGAGUUAUCCUCAAGUGGGACAAUGUCUGGUGGGUAGUUUGACUGGGGCGGUCGCCUCCCAAAUAAUAACGGAGGCUUACAAAGGUUGGCUCAGAACGGUUGGAAAUCGUUCGUAGAGUAUAAAGGUAUAAGCCAGCUUAACUGCAAGACAUACAAGUCAAGCAGAGACGAAAGUCGGUCUUAGUGAUCCGGUGGUUCUGUGUGGAAGGGCCAUCGCUCAAAGGAUAAAAGGUACCCCGGGGAUAACAGGCUGAUCUCCCCCAAGAGCUCACAUCGACGGGGAGGUUUGGCACCUCGAUGUCGGCUCAUCGCAUCCUGGGGCUGGAGCAGGUCCCAAGGGUAUGGCUGUUCGCCAUUUAAAGCGGUACGCGAGCUGGGUUCAGAACGUCGUGAGACAGUUCGGUCCCUAUCUGCCGUGGGCGUAAGAAGAUUGAAGAGAUUUGACCCUAGUACGAGAGGACCGGGUUGAACAAACCACUGGUGUAGCUGUUGUUCUGCCAAGAGCAUCGCAGCGUAGCUAAGUUUGGAAAGGAUAAACGCUGAAAGCAUCUAAGCGUGAAGCCAACUCUAAGAUGAAUCUUCUCUAAGCUCUCUAGAAGACUACUAGUUUGAUAGGCUGGGUGUGUAAUGGAUGAAAGUCCUUUAGCUGACCAGUACUAAUAGAGCGUUUGGCUUAUCUUUAAUAAAGCAU
rnacentral:rRNA from 1 species